rnacentral:rRNA from 1 species
AGCUCCAGUAGCGUACAUUAAAGUUGCUGCAGUUAAAAAGCUCGUAGUUGAAUUUCGGGUAUUUGUUGCUAGCUGGUCUUCAUGGCCAUGUUGGUUAACAGAUCCUCAUUUGCUGGACGGCUGGCGAUGAUCUUUAUCGGUUGUCGUCAGUUGCCAGAACGUUUACUUUGAGAAAAUUAGAGUGCUAAAAGCAGGCUCACGCCUAUAUAUAUUGCAUGGAAUAAUGAAAUAAGAUCUCGGUUUUAUUUCGUUGGUUUUAGAAAUUGAGAUAAUGAUUAAUAGGAUCAGAGGGGGGCGUACGUACUGUGGUGUGAGAGGUGAAAUUCUUGGAUCGCCACAGGACGAACAGCAGCGAAGGCGUUCGCCAAGAAUGUUUUCA